rnacentral:rRNA from 1 species
UACGAAGGGGGGCUAGCGUUGCUCGGAAUCACUGGGCGUAAAGCGCACGUAGGCGGACUCUUAAGUCGGUGGUGAAAUCCUGGAGCUCAACUCCAGAACUGCCUUCGAUACUGAGAGUCUCGAGUCCGAGAGAGGUGAGUGGAACUGCGAGUGUAGAGGUGAAAUUCGUAGAUAUUCGCAAGAACACCAGUGGCGAAGGCGGCUCACUGGCUCGGUACUGACGCUGAGGUGCGAAAGCGUGGGGAGCAAACAAG